rnacentral:lncRNA from 1 species
CACAUCUGCAGUAUUCAUCUCCUAAGCCUAACAGACCAUGAAGCCUAUUAACAGAGCGCUGAGUUUAAGACGAUGAAUUUUGCUGGGAUGUAGUACGAUGUAGCUCGUAUUUCACGAGCAGGCUGGCAUGCAUAUUGGUCCUCAACUGGCUCUUGUCCUGCAAAUUCAGUGAUGGAAGUACCCACACUUACCCCUACAGCAUGAAGUUUCCAUGGAAAGAAAUAGGAGGCAUUACUUUCAGAGUGACCUACGUACUGGAAGAAAAGGUCAAGGAAAAAAGAAUGAACAGGCAGGCAGCAUUAAAAAUUCUAAAUCAACUGUGGUACAAAAUUAGGAUGAAUAAGGUAAAAGAAGAAGCCAAUGUAAUGAACACAGAAGAGUUUAUAGAAGAUGGCAUGGUGUGAGAGAGGAGGUGGGAGAAACACAAAGCAUUUUGAUAACCCUGAAAAACCUGCCUAAGACUUCUGAUCUUAGGGCACCUGUGUGUGCAUGCAACAUCUUCUUAAAAGUCUAUGACAUCCUUCAUUAACUCUCACUGAUGGAAAGGGAGCAUUUAGUCCAAGAUUUUUUACUACACCAGGAGAGGCAAGACAAGGCAAGGCAAGGAUGCCAGGAGGUCAAAAAUAAUUCAGAAUUUGCACCAUACUGUAUUUUUGUUUGGACAAGUGCUUUUUUUAAUAAAAGAAGCUCUGUCAUAAUCCCUGCAAUUAAUAAAAUUAUCUGAAG